rnacentral:rRNA from 1 species
ACUAAGCGUACACGGUGGAUGCCCUGGCAGUCAGAGGCGAUGAAGGACGUGCUAAUCUGCGAUAAGCGUCGGUAAGGUGAUAUGAACCGUUAUAACCGGCGAUUUCCGAAUGGGGAAACCCAGUGUGUUUCGACACACUAUCAUUAACUGAAUCCAUAGGUUAAUGAGGCGAACCGGGGGAACUGAAACAUCUAAGUACCCCGAGGAAAAGAAAUCAACCGAGAUUCCCCCAGUAGCGGCGAGCGAACGGGGAGCAGCCCAGAGUCUGAAUCAGUGUGUGUGUUAGUGGAAGCGUCUGGAAAGGCGCGCGAUACAGGGUGACAGCCCCGUACACAAAAAUGCACAUACUGUGAGCUCGAUGAGUAGGGCGGGACACGUGGUAUCCUGUCUGAAUAUGGGGGGACCAUCCUCCAAGGCUAAAUACUCCUGACUGACCGAUAGUGAACCAGUACCGUGAGGGAAAGGCGAAAAGAACCCCGGCGAGGGGAGUGAAAAAGAACCUGAAACCGUGUACGUACAAGCAGUGGGAGCACGCUUAGGCGUGUGACUGCGUACCUUUUGUAUAAUGGGUCAGCGACUUAUAUUCUGUAGCAAGGUUAACCGAAUAGGGGAGCCGAAGGGAAACCGAGUCUUAACUGGGCGUUAAGUUGCAGGGUAUAGACCCGAAACCCGGUGAUCUAGCCAUGGGCAGGUUGAAGGUUGGGUAACACUAACUGGAGGACCGAACCGACUAAUGUUGAAAAAUUAGCGGAUGACUUGUGGCUGGGGGUGAAAGGCCAAUCAAACCGGGAGAUAGCUGGUUCUCCCCGAAAGCUAUUUAGGUAGCGCCUCGUGAAUUCAUCUCCGGGGGUAGAGCACUGUUUCGGCAAGGGGGUCAUCCCGACUUACCAACCCGAUGCAAACUGCGAAUACCGGAGAAUGUUAUCACGGGAGACACACGGCGGGUGCUAACGUCCGUCGUGAAGAGGGAAACAACCCAGACCGCCAGCUAAGGUCCCAAAGUCAUGGUUAAGUGGGAAACGAUGUGGGAAGGCCCAGACAGCCAGGAUGUUGGCUUAGAAGCAGCCAUCAUUUAAAGAAAGCGUAAUAGCUCACUGGUCGAGUCGGCCUGCGCGGAAGAUGUAACGGGGCUA